rnacentral:rRNA from 1 species
UACGUAGGGGGCAAGCGUUGUCCGGAUUUAUUGGGCGUAAAGAGCGUGUAGGCGGUCAGGUAGGUCCGUUGUGAAAACACGAGGCUCAACCUCGAGACGCCGAUGGAAACCAUCUGACUAGAGUCCGGAAGAGGAGAGUGGAAUUCCUGGUGUAGCGGUGAAAUGCGCAGAUAUCAGGAAGAACACCCGUGGCUAAGGCGGCUCUCUAGUACGGUACUGACGCUGAGACGCGAAAGCGUGGGGAGCGAACAGG